rnacentral:rRNA from 1 species
UACAGAGGUCUCGAGCGUUAGGCGGAAUCACUGGGCUUAAAGCGUGUGUAGGUGGAUGCCUAAGUACCUUGUGAAAUCCCACGGCUUAACCGUGGAACUGCUUGGUAUACUGGGUGUCUUGAGUCACUCAGGGGCGAGCGGAACAAAUGGUGGAGCGGUGAAAUGCGUAGAUAUCAUUUGGAACGCCAAUGGUGAAAACAGCUCGCUGGGGGUGCAUUGACACUGAGACACGAAAGCCAGGGGAGCGAACGGG